GAUUGCAGGCUGCAACUCGCCUGCAUGAAGUCGGAAUUGCUAGUAAUCGUAGGUCAGCAUACUACGGUGAAUACGUUCCCGGGCCUUGUACACACCGCCCGUCAAACCAUGAGAGUUGGCAACACCCGAAGUCGGUAGUCUAACCGCAAGGAGGACGCCGCCGAAGGUGGGGUCGAUGAUUAGGGUUAAGUCGUAACAAGGUAUC
rnacentral:rRNA from 1 species